UACAGAGGUCUCAAGCGUUGUUCGGAUUCAUUGGGCGUAAAGGGUGCGUAGGUGGCGGGGCAAGUCAGGUGUGAAAUCUCGGGGCUCAACCCCGAAACUGCACUUGAUACUGCCUUGCUCGAGUACUGGAGAGGAGACUGGAAUUCACGGUGUAGCAGUGAAAUGCGUAGAUAUCGUGAGGAAGACCAGUGGCGAAGGCGGGUCUCUGGACAGUUCCUGACGCUGAGGCGCGAAGGCCAGGGGAGCAAACGGG
rnacentral:rRNA from 1 species